GACGAACGCUGGCGGCGUGCUUAACACAUGCAAGUCGAGCGAUGAAACACCUUCGGGUGCGGAUUAGCGGCGAACGGGUGAGUAACACGUGAGUAAUCUGCCCUUGACUCUGGGAUAACUGCGGGAAACUGUAGCUAAUACCGGAUACGACACCUUCGGGCAUCCGAUGGGUGUGGAAAGAAUUUCGGUCAAGGAUGAACUCGCGGCCUAUCAGCUAGUUGGUGAGGUAAUGGCUCACCAAGGCGACGACGGGUAGCCGGCCUGAGAGGGUGACCGGCCACACUGGGACUGAGACACGGCCCAGACUCCCACGGGAGGCAGCAGUGGGGAAUAUUGCACAAUGGGCGAAAGCCUGAUGCAGCAACGCCGCGUGAGGGAUGAAGGCCUUCGGGUUGUAAACCUCUUUUAGUUGGGAAGAAGCGAAAGUGACGGUACCAACAGAAAAAGCACCGGCUAACUACGUGCCAGCCGCCGCAGUAA
rnacentral:rRNA from 1 species